rnacentral:misc_RNA from 1 species
GGCCAUCUUACGCUCUACUCGCUUAAUCAUUUUCUUCCGGUUUGCCUCCUGCAUCUGAGCUUUACGCUUCUUCUUCUCAGCCAAUAUAAAUGCCUUUCGCUGCCCGAUUCUCUUUUUCUCAUUCCUCCGCUUGACACUUCCUUCAUUGGGAUUGUUUGGACUUAUAGGUUCACCUGGGGUAUAUUUUACCCACGCAUACGGACCUGGAGGUCUCAAGCUAGCUCUUUUACGUUUAGGCUUGUCACUGUGUCUUCGCUUAGGGAAUCGAGUGUCAGUCAAGCUGUGGAAAGCACUAGAUGGUGGAAUCCAUGGUAGCCUAGGUCGGAAAGUGUUGAACAAAUGACGGAGCUCCGGUGCCGGACAGACGGUGUUCGCCGGAGAACUGAUCGGAGCGAAGGCGGAUACGGUUCGGGUCGAUAAGAGUGCUCGUGAAACGGGUCGGAUAAUGGAUCUUAGGGCUCCGAAACCCAUGUCUGUAACUUCGAUGACGG